CACGUAGGGCGCAAGCGUUGUCCGGAAUUAUUGGGCGUAAAGAGCUCGUAGGCGGUCCGUCACGUCCGCUGUGAAAACCCAGGGCUCAACCCUGGGCUUGCAGUGGAUACGGGCAGACUAGAGGUAGGUAGGGGAGAAUGGAAUUCCCGGUGUAGCGGUGAAAUGCGCAGAUAUCGGGAGGAACACCGGUGGCGAAGGCAGAUCUCUGGGCCGUAACUGACGCUGAGGAGCGAAAGCAUGGGGAGCGAACAGG
rnacentral:rRNA from 1 species